rnacentral:tRNA from 1 species
GUGAGUGUAGUUCAGUCGGUAGAGCGUCAGUUUGUGGCACUGAAUGUCGUGGGUUCGAGUCCCAUCACUCACCCCA